GACCUGGUGGUGAAAUGUCAUCACCCCCACUCCCCGUCCACGCACAGUUGCCAUGAGAGAUGUAAGGCAGGAGUCCCCGGUUCGAUUCCGGGCCAGGUCA